UACGUAGGUGGCAAGCGUUGUCCGGAAUUAUUGGGCGUAAAGCGCGUGUAGGCGGCUGUGCAAGUCGGAUGUGAAAUCCCGUGGCUCAACCACGGAAGUGCACCCGAAACUGCGCAGCUGGAGUCUCGGAGAGGAAGGUGGAAUGCUUGGUGUAGAGGUGAAAUUCGUAGAUAUCAAGCGGAACACCGGUGGCGAAGGCGGCCUUCUGGACGAUGACUGACGCUGAGACGCGAAAGCGUGGGGAGCAAACAGG
rnacentral:rRNA from 1 species